AAAAUGCACAAAAUAGCGAUAAAAAAGGAAUCUGUGUGGGUCAAGUUUGAUUUUUAAAUGCUUUAAUCUCAAUUAUCAUUUUAAGUUUUCAAGGUUAAAACACACAUUGGAAGUAUGUCGUGCUGCUGAAAAGAGACAGUAGGUAGAUCCCAACAUUCUGAACAUUUUUGCCCAAAUUAGACUUUUUCUACUCAUAGCAGUUUUCAAGAAAAUAAACACAC
rnacentral:lncRNA from 1 species